GGAUUAGGCAUGCAAGUCGAGCGAGAAAGUCCCUUUCGGGGACGAGUAAAGCGGCGAAAGGGUGAGUAAUGCAUGGAUAACUUACCCCCGAGACUGGAAUAACCACCCUAACGGGUGGCUAAUGCCGGAUGGCACCCCUGGGUCGCAUGGCCUGGGGGUUAAAGGUGGGAUACUGCCACUCGGGGAGAGGUCCAUGUCCUAUUAGCUAGUUGGUAGGGUAACGGCCUACCAAGGCGACGAUGGGUAGCCGGACUGAGAGGUUGGCCGGCCACACUGGGACUGAGACACUGCCCAGACUCCUACGGGAGGCUGCAGUCGAGAAUCUUCCGCAAUGGACGAAAGUCUGACGGAGCGACGCCGCGUGGGGGAUGAAGGCCUUCGGGUUGUAAACUCCUGUCAGGUGUUAGGAAAUUCGGUGCGGUUAAUACCCGCGCCGUUUGACAAAAGCACCAGAGGAAGCACUGGCUAACUACGUGCCAGCAGCCGCGGUAAUACGUAGAGUGCUAACGUUGUUCGGAAUUACUGGGCAUAAAGAGCUCGCAGGCGGCGCUGUAAGUCGGUUGUGAAAGCCCCUGGCUCGACCAGGGAAUCGCUUCCGAUACUGCAGUGCUUGAGUGUGGCAGGGGAGAGUGGAACUUCCAGUGGAGCGGUGAAAUGCGUAGAUAUUGGAAGGAACGCCAGCGGCGAAAGCGACUCUCUGGGCCAUAACUGACGCUGAGGAGCGAAAGCUAGGGUAGCGAACGGGAUUAGAUACCCCGGUAGUCCUAGCCGUAAACGAUGGGCACUAAGUAGAGGGGUUUU
rnacentral:rRNA from 1 species